CAGCCGCCGCGGGAAUACAGAGGGUGCGAGCGUUAAUCGGAUUUACUGGGCGUAAAGCGUGCUUAGGCGGCUUUUUAAGUCGGAUGUGAAAUCCCUGAGCUUAACUUAGGAAUUGCAUUCGAUACUGGGAAGCUAGAGUAUGGGAGAGGAUGGUAGAAUUCCAGGUGUAGCGGUGAAAUGCGUAGAGAUCUGGAGGAAUACCGAUGGCGAAGGCAGCCAUCUGGCCUAAUACUGACGCUGAGGUACGAAAGCAUGGGGAGCAAACAGGAUUAGAUACCCCUGUAGUCCCUGUCUCUUAUAC
rnacentral:rRNA from 1 species